AGAGAAGAAGAGGGAGAGAGAAUCUUAAGAAGAUUCCCCAUAGAGCAUGAAGCUCCAACACAGGGUUCCAUCCCACAACCCUGAGACCAUGACCUGAACUGAAUGAGCCCAAGAGUUGGACGGUUAACUGACUGAGCCAACCAGGUGCCCCAGUUUAGCUCUGUUUGUUGAGGACCCUUAUAUACCAAGCAGUGCUAUGUUCUUAUUUUUUUUUUUUAAGAUUUUAUUUAUUUGUGUAACAGAGAGAGCACAAGCACAGGGAGCAGCAGGCAGAAGUAGAGGGGGAAGCAGGUUCCCCACAGAGCCGAUACAGGGCUUGAUCCCAGGCAGAAGACAGACACUUAAUUGACUGAGCCAGGCACCCCGGCACUGCUAUGUUCUGAAAAUUCAAAUGAAACUUGUAAUUCCUGCUCUGUGUUAACAAGAACUGUCUUUAGGAGUGGGUUUUCCGGGGGACAUUUUACUUUUAUACUUUGUUUGAAUUUAUAUGAUAAAAAGAUAUUACCUUUAUGGUGGUAAGGGGAAGAGUCUAAUGAGAAGGCAGGCAUGCCAAUCACCAAUUAUAAUACAGUUGUCAUUAUGGCAGUAUAGACAAGGGUCAGUGGACACAUAGGAGUUCCAAGAGGAAAUUCAGAGUAGUGGUGCUUAAGGCAUGUUGAGUAGAAGCCAAAUAAAAGAAGGGAGAAGGGUAUUUAAGCAGAGAAAGCACAAAUGAGUGUGGUUUAUUUGAGGAACUUACAUAUCAUUCGGUACUGCUUGACCCUGGGUUGAGGGGCAAAUGAUAGAAGUUAUUUGGUAAGUUGGAGUCAGAUAAUGAAUUUAUUGGGCAGAGGUGUUCAGAAUUUGCCUGCAGGUGGUGGGUGCCCAUGAAGAAUUUUAUGUUGUGGAGUAACAUGAUAAGCUUUGUUUCAUUCUCUUGGUAGUGUAGGCAAUGAAAACUGAUAAUUUUCUGAAAGCCACUGUGGUCCACGCAAUACUAGUGUCAGAACUCAAGUCUUUUGAACUGUAUUUAGCAUUUUCCGUUAAACCAUGCUGACUCCUCUAAAAAGCAAUAUAUUUAAAAAGGCCCCACUAUUUACUAUUGUUCUACUAAUAUGAAUUUAAAUCCAUGAUGGAGGGAGGUGCCUGGAUGGCUCAGUUGGUUAAACCUCUGCCUUUGGCUUAGGUGAUGAUCCUGAGGUCCUGGGAUCAAGCCCCACAUUGGGCUCCCUGCUCAGUUGGGAGCCUGCUUCUCCCUUUCCCUCUGCCCCUUCCCCUGCUUGUGCUCUCUCUGUCUUUUUUCUCUCUCUUAAAUAAAUAAAUACAAUCUUAAAAAAAAAUUCAUGACUAAGAGAAUGGGAAAAGAUUUCACAUAAUCACCAAGCAACCUAACCUUGUCUUUUAUCUCUUUGGUAGGACAUGCCUGUUAGAAGAUACUUUUUGCUUGAAAUCCAUCUCCUCAUUUGAAUGGAAGAGAGCUACAAUUCAUUCAUCUUCAGAUAUGUGCAGAGCAUAAUUUCCACUGAACAAUUUGUUCUAGGGCGUCUAUCCUUUAAAAAUUCAUGCAAUUUUCGUUAAAUCUAGAUUUCAGUUUUGCUGAUAUACUGUAAUCCCAUUUCCUCCAGUUUCUUUCAUAAGGUUGUAUAUCAAGUCUAAAGAUGUAUGGACAGAGGCGCCUCGGUGGCUCAGUGGUUGAGUGUCUGCUUAUGGUUCAGGUUGUGAUCCCAGAGGCCUGGGAUCAUGCAUCAUCUGGCUCCCUGGAGGGAUCCUGCUUCUCGCUCAGCCUAUGUCUCUGCCUUUCUCUCUGUGUCUCUCAUGAAUAAAUAAAUAAAAUAUUUUAAAAACAUAUAAAAAAUAAAAAAUAUAUUUAUGGAUAGCAGCCUUUAAGCAGGAGCGCUUGCUUUCUUCAUGAGAUAAUAACUGCCCUCCAUUUGUUUAAUCCUCUCUUUGCUCCCACACCCCUGUCCUCAUUAGAGGGCAUCAGUCAGCCUAACAUACAGCAAGCUGGCCAGCAGGACAUCUUCCACUUGGUGUGACAAUGCUUUUGCUGCCAAUGCUCUCUAACCAGGAUCCAUGAUGUCUGACAGGAGGGAAGAGAAAUACAGUCCUGUGCCAUUAGCACCAUCUCUUGGCUUUUUCUACCUAGAGCUCUGUCCCACUAAUCCAGCAGGACCUUCUCAGAAUUCCUUUUUUUUUUUUUUAAGACUUUAUUUAUUUAUUCAUGAGAGACAGAGAGAGAGAGAAAGAGGCAGAGACAUAGGCAGAGAGAGAAGCAGGCUCCAUGCAGGAAGCCCGAUGUGGGACUUGAUCCUGAGACUCCAGGAUCACCCCCUGGGCUAAAGGCAGAUGCUUAACUGCUGAGCAACCCAGGCGUCCCACCUUCUCAGAAUUCCAAAGGUUUCCCAAGCUCUCCAAAUCCUCACAGUUGGUACAAUCCUGUAUCACCAUCAGAGCUUUAGUCUGAAUUUAUCCUAUACGUGGUAUCAUCAUUCUGGUAAAAUUCAUGUCAUCGAAUGUCUCUUUGCCAUGUGUGUUCUACUUCCUGCUUGCUAGAACAAGAAGUGCUAAACUAUUCUCUCUUAUCAAUGAUAACAUCCACUUCUGGGGAUAAUUCAAUUUUUUUGACUAUACCCAUCAAUGUAGCCUUGCAUUCAUGCACUCACUAAUUCAUUUAACCAUAUUCUUUGAUGCUUAUUAUAUGCCAGCCACUGUGCUAGUUACUUGAAGCACAGAAUCAGAACAAAACAGAUAGGUCCUUCCAUCAUGAAUCUUCUCAUCUAGUGCCCCUGUAUGGGGGUGGGGGGUGUGGUGGUGGUAAAAGUGAAGAAGAACUUGUUAACUGAGACGGAGGAAAUGGAAACAUCUACAGUUGCCAAAGUUGUGAUUGAUGCCCCUUUUAAGUAAGAACUUUAAACAUAUUUUAAUGGUCAUAUAAGAGCAUGAUUGCUAUAUUCAAUCUAAUUAGAGGAAAGGCGAUAUGCUGCCUCUUAACAUAAUGCAGUAGAGACUAUGUGAAUAAGGCUAUUUGCUUAAAAGUAAACAUGGUUCCUCAAAAAAUUAAAUGCAGAAUUAUCUUAUGAUCUAUCAAUCCCAUUCUGGGUAUAUAUCCAAAAGAAUUGAAAACAGGAUCUCAAAGAGAUAUUUGCACAUCCAUACAUCUAUAUCCAUUGCAACAAUACACAACUGCCAAGAGGUAGCAGCAGCCUAACUGUCCACUAGCAAAUGAGCAGAUAAGGAAACUGUAUAUAUAUGGGAAUAUUAUUCUGCCUUUAACAGAAGAAAUUCUGACACAUGCUGCAACAUGGAUGAACCUAAGUGAAAUAAGCCAAUCACAGAAGGACAAAUACUGUAUGAUUCCACUUGUAUGAGAUAUCUAGAGUAACCAAAAUCAUGGAAACAGAAAGUAGCAUGGGGUGGUUGCCAGGGACUGGGGGAAUGAGAAAUGGGGAACUGUUGUUCAAUGACCAUAGAGUUGCAGUUUUACAAAAAUGAAAAAAUUCUAGAGAUCUCAUUAUAGAAUGAUGUCAAUAUAGUUAACAUUAUUGACUGUACCUUAAAAAUGGUUGAAGGAAAUUUCAUAUUAUGUGAGAUUUGGGAGCCACAACUAAAAAUAAAAUUUAAAAAAUUUUGAAGUUAACAUGGAAGCAACUAUGAAUGUGAGUGAUGAACUAAGGUCAUUUAGAAGGUUGGGGUUGCAGAGCUGGCACCACCAAUUCCUAGGUGUGUGACCUUUAACCUCUAAUCCUGUGUCCUCACUGGUAAAAAUGGAGAUAUCUCACCUACUUCAAAGAUUUGCAUGGGUUAAAUGAGAUGGUGUGUGCAAAUUAGCAAACCCUAAAGCACUAUUCAAAUGUAAGGCAUUUUGAUGGUGCAGAUGUUGAAUUUCUCUAUUAUCUGUCUUCACUGUUUUCUGGCCAUAUGAGGGCGGGAUGAGAUGUGGAGGCACCAGCUCCAGCUUCUGUCUUUCAUCUAUCCUGCUAUUUUCUUCUCUUCAAGGUUACAAAUGUUAGAAGUGAAAUGCCUAACGUGGUUGCUGAUUCUCUUACCAGCAACUGUUCUUCUUGACCUCACUCCAGAGAGAGAGAGCACAAGCAGGCGGAACAGCAGGCAGAAGGAGAGGAAGAAGCAAGCUCCCUGCUGAGCAAUACAAUAGAAGCAAAGAGCACCAAUAGCCUUCACAGAGCAAAUCUUGGGGAAGAUCCAACUGAUCUCCUAAGGACAUGUACCUAUCUCUCUGAAGGGAGGAAAGAGAAGCAGCAUGCUUACCAGUCCACCAGAAUCACCUGAAGUGAGGGGCGGGGUCCUCCAAGGAAAAGUGGGGGAGAGCAGGAAGCAGAUAUCUACCAGAUGAGGUCUAGGCCAUUACUAAGGGCAGGCCUAGGACAGAAAACAGGACCUUGCCCCUAGUGCAAUUCUGGAGGUUACAGAGAGGAAGAGAUAUAGGUAAGUUUAGAGCAAAAAUAGUUUGGGCCUCUUUUAAAGUAAUGUCAUCAGAAAUGAAGAUUAAGGUCUGAAAUGAUGUUAAGUCAAAUGAUCAUUUUUUCAUGUUUAGAAGUAUAUGGAUGUUUUAAGAUGCAAAUUCUUUUUAUUGCUAAUGAAUGUUCUCACAUGCAGUCUAUAAUUUAGCAUGGAAGUGGAUUGAAAGGCAUGCCUUGUUUCCUUGCUUCUCAUUUUCUUCCUGUCACAAUGGGGCAUACCGGAAUAAAAUUUUGAGGGAAAAAGUCUUUCCUGAAGUUUCUAGAUGGAUAAAAACUCUUAAAAUACAAAGAAAGUGGAUGAUUAUGGUCAUGACUAAUGUUUCUUGAGCAGUGAACAUGUGCCAGACACAUGUAAUGUAGUAAAUGCAUAACCUCAUGUAAAUCUGAUGACAUAACCUCAUGUAAAUCUGACGACUACCCCAUGACUUAGGAAGAGUUAGUCUGUCACAGACCCGGAAACCAAGGCUAUGACAAGUGAAUAAUUUGCCCUAGCUCCUGACUAUCUGAGCUGGGAUUCCAUGUCAGGUACAUGUGAUUCCAGAGUCUGUGUUAACAGCAUUGUGCUUAUAUUUAGUUAUAGCUUUAGUUUAUUUGUGUAAUUUAACUAUUUUAAAAGCCAAAUUGUUACUUGUGGUACAUUAUUUUAACCUGUGUGAAACACAGGGCACUUGAAACUUGCUUCCUCUUUUCCCAUGUGACACAGGGCCCCUUUUCCUAUCUUGAUCCAUCAGUGACCUAGGAUGUCUCAUUGCUAGGUAGGAAACGAGAAUACCUAAACAUUUUAAAUCUUUUUUUUUUUUUUUAAACAUUUUAAAUCUUAAGCAAUAAUUAUAUACGUUAAUCACAUGGAAAGUCAUGAAUAACCUAUAACCCAGCACAUCUGAAAAUGCAACUGUACUAUUUACAUUGUGACCUGAGUGGGAUGUCUGGGUGGCACAGUUGGUUAAGUGUCACACUUGGUUUCAGCUUAGGUCAUGAUCUUGGGCUUGUGGGAUCGAGUCCUGCAUCAGGUUCUAUGCUCAUCUCGGAGUCUGCUUGAAAAUUUCUCCCUCUCCCUCUCCUGCUCUCUAAAAAAAAAAAAAAGUCUCUAAAUCAUGACCCAAGAAAAUGUCACUGCUGAGGGUGUUGCCAGUGUAGAUAAAUGUAGCUCAAAGAAAUAUAACAGCAGAGUCGCCUGUUGACACUAGCUGUGUAAUAUUCUUGUUUUUCUGGAGAGUAGCUCUUGCCUCAGUCCUUUUCACCUUUCUUCCCUCCCAGCCCAAACCCCACUUCCUCAACCACACACACGUUGGGCUAGUUAACCUCUAUGAUGAUGUUGUAUCACUAUAGGUCUUUUCCUCCUCUAUUGGUUGAUAAUUGGUUUGGUGAUGUUUCUGUUUUUUAUCUUUUUAAUUUUUAUUUGUUUAUGAUAAUCACAGAGAGAGAGAGAGAGAGAGAGAGAGAGGCAGAGAUACAGGCAGAGGGAGAAGCAGGCUCCAUGCACCGGGAGCCCGACGUGGGACUCGAUCCCGGGUCUCCAGGACCGCGCCCUGGGCCAAAGGCAGACGCCAAACCGCUGCGCCACCCAGGGAUCCCGGUGAUGUUUCUGUUUAUUACCAUCUGACCCUUUUCUAGUUCACCAGUCAGCCACCAUUUGACAGUCUCUGCCUUCUGGUCUCAUCAUGUGACUAGCUCGCCAGUAGAUUCAUGAGAAGCUCAGCCUUGAUAUCUGGGAAGUGAAUGCUUUCAUCUGAUAGCAACGACCAGGGUUUUGUCACUUGAUAAUGGCUUCCUAGGUGAUUAUAAUGUAUUUACUUUUGUAUUAGAGUAUCAAGUCUCCAAACUUUUUUGAUCAUUCAUUCCUAUUAGUCUGUUUUUUGGAAGCAAUUCUUAACCAAAUAUUAUAAAGCACAAACAUGUGCCUGCAUUUAUGACUCAGUCACAAUGUAUGCUUAGGGUGAAAUUCAUUAUUAAUGACAGUGGAUAUAAAUCCUCAUUCAAAUAAUCUUGAUGAAUUUGACUUUUUUUUCAAAGAUUUAAUUUAUUUAUUCAUGAGAGAUAGAGAGAGGCAGAGACACACAGGCAGAGGGAGAAACAGGCUCCCUGCAGGGAGCCCGAUGGGGGACCAGAUCCUAGGACCCGGGGAUGCUCAACCACUAAGCCACCCAGGUGCCCCUAAUUUGACCUUCUUUAAGCCGAAAUUUGGUUAGACUUCUUGGAUUGUUAUUUAAACUUUGAA